rnacentral:rRNA from 1 species
UGAGGAAUACAUGGGAAUCUGCCCAGUCGUGGGGGAUAACGUAGGGAAACUUACGCUAAUACCGCAUGCGCCCUUCGGGGGAAAGCCGGGGACCUUCGGGCCUGGCGCGAUUGGAUGAGCCCAUGUCGGAUUAGCUAGUUGGCGGGGUAAUGGCCCACCAAGGCGACGAUCCGUAGCUGGUCUGAGAGGAUGAUCAGCCACACUGGAACUGAGACACGGUCCAGGCUCCUACGGGAGGCAGCAGUAGGGAAUAUUGGACAAUGGGCGCAAGCCUGAUCCAGCCAUGCCGCGUGAGUGAAGAAGGCCCUCGGGUUGUAAAGCUCUUUUGUCCGGAAAGAAAAGCGCCGGGUUAAUACCCUGGUGUCCUGACGGUACCGGAAGAAUAAGCACCGGCUAAACUUCGUG